rnacentral:rRNA from 1 species
GACGGAAGGUGCAAGCGUUGCUCGGAAUCACUGGGCGUAAAGGGUGCGUAGGCGGCCAGCACAAGUCAGCUGUGAAAUCUCCGAGCUUAACUCGGAAAGGUCAGCCGAUACUGCGGGGCUAGAGUGCAGAAGGGGCAACUGGAAUUCUCGGUGUAGCGGUGAAAUGCGUAGAUAUCGAGAGGAACACCUGCGGCGAAGGCGGGUUGCUGGGCUGACACUGACGCUGAGGCGCGAAAGCCAGGGGAGCGAACGGG